rnacentral:misc_RNA from 1 species
AUUGUUUCGAACGGCAGCUUUUUUCACAAAGAGCUGACGGAUCGGUUUUGAGGGUCUUUGCCAUUUACCGUGGCUCCCUCUAAAUGCAUUAGCGCAUCCAUUUGAUAGGCAAGACGGACGAAAGCUCAAUCUUUCGCUCUUUUUCUUUCCUGCCGGGUUUUGAUAAUAUCGAAGCUUCGGAGAGAUUGGAGAAAGUAGGCGACGAGCUGGACGCAACGACUUGCUGGUUGGAGUGCUUCUGAACCCCGCCUUCUCUUUUAGAGAGGAGGAAUCAUAAUUCA